CGGGACGGGUGAGUAAUGUCUGGGAAACUGCCUGAUGGAGGGGGAUAACUACUGGAAACGGUAGCUAAUACCGCAUAACGUCGCAAGACCAAAGAGGGGGACCUUCGGGCCUCUUGCCAUCGGAUGUGCCCAGAUGGGAUUAGCUAGUAGGUGGGGUAACGGCUCACCUAGGCGACGAUCCCUAGCUGGUCUGAGAGGAUGGCCAGCCACACUGGAACUGAGACACGGUCCAG
rnacentral:rRNA from 1 species